CUUAUCAUUUCCCCCCUUGGGAAGUGGCAGAAGAGUGGCCAGGUAAAUAGAGUAUCAUCCCUGCAGGGUGACAUUAUCCUGCACAGAAUUCGUCCAUCACAAGGAGAGGUGGGAUAUUGCAUGGAAAGUCUCAGGUAACCAGGGCAACAUUCGACACCAGAGCCUUAACCUGUUAGGGAAUAGUAAGAGCUUGGACAGGCUUUGGGGCCUGUAUAAUUCAGGUAAAGGUAUUGGGGGAACUAGCUAGGACCCUUGCCUCUUGGUCAGGUUUCACUGUGUGGAACAAAAUAAAUAAUAAGGUGAUAGGGGCCUGCAAGUGGGGGAAGGACAUCUGCACCUAGCAGAUUAAUUGGACAGGUGAAGGUAUCCACAAAGCAAGGCUUAGUUAACAGGCUACUCCAAGGAGAGCCAUCUACACUUAUGCAGGAGACAACAAUGUUAGACAGGAAUGAGGAGUCAGGCAGGCCUUACUUGGUACAAAUAGAUGUCAUGUGGCCUGCUAUACAAGGCUGCAUAUAGUUAUUGGGCAUGGGCCUUACUAUGUACUAAAACUUAAGUUAAAAGAAAAUUUGGGACAACCUGAAGUGAUGCUUCUCCACAGAUGCUAACUCAUCGUUGAUGACAUUGUUAAUACAGGUAGCCUGAUCAGCCAAUUUAUCUUAGGCUUAAACAAGUCACACCAUGUAGUGGAAUGGGUCAUUAGGAUUCGG